CCUACGUGAGGCAGCAGUGAGGAAUAUUGGUCAAUGGGCGCGAGCCUGAACCAGCCAAGUAGCGUGAAGGAUGACUGCCCUACGGGUUGUAAACUUCUUUUAUAAAGGAAUAAAGUGAGGCACGUGUGCCUUUUUGUAUGUACUUUAUGAAUAAGGAUCGGCUAACUCCGUGCCAGCAGCCGCGGUAAUACGGAGGAUCCGAGCGUUAUCCGGAUUUAUUGGGUUUAAAGGGAGCGUAGAUGGGUUGUUAAGUCAGUUGUGAAAGUUUGCGGCUCAACCGUAAAAUUGCAAUUGAUACUGGCAGUCUUGAGUACAGUAGAGGUAGGCGGAAUUCGUGGUGUAGCGGUGAAAUGCUUAGAUAUCACGAAGAACUCCGAUUGCGAAGGCAGCUUAUUAAACUGCAACUGACAUUGAUGCUCGAAAGUGUGGGUAUCAAACAGGAUUAGAUACACUUGUAGUC
rnacentral:rRNA from 1 species